UGGGGAAUCUUGCGCAAUGGGGGAAACCCUGACGCAGCGACGCCGCGUGCGGGAUGAAGGCCUUCGGGUUGUAAACCGCUUUCAGCAGGGACGAGGCCUUAUGGUGACGGUACCUGCAGAAGAAGCUCCGGCUAAAUACGUGCCAGCAGCCGCGGUAAUACGUAUGGAGCAAGCGUUAUCCGGAUUCAUUGGGCGUAAAGCGCUCGUAGGCGGUCUGUUAGGUCGGCAAGUUAAAUCCGGGGGCUCAACCCCCGUCCGCUUCCGAUACCGGCAGACUUGAGUUUGGUAGGGGAAGGGGGAAUUCCUAGUGUAGCGAUGGAAUGCGCAGAUAUUAGGAAGAACACCGGUGGCGAAGGCGGCCUUCUGGGCCAUAACUGACGCUGAGGAGCGAAAGCUAGGGGAGCGAACAGG
rnacentral:rRNA from 1 species